rnacentral:rRNA from 1 species
UACGAAGGGGGCUAGCGUUGCUCGGAAUCACUGGGCGUAAAGCGCACGUAGGCGGAUCUUUAAGUCAGGGGUGAAAUCCUGGAGCUCAACUCCAGAACUGCCUUUGAUACUGAGGAUCUCGAGUCCGGAAGAGGUGAGUGGAACUCCGAGUGUAGAGGUGAAAUUUGUAGAUAUUCGGAAGAACACCAGUGGCGAAGGCGGCUCACUGGUCCGGUACUGACGCUGAGGUGCGAAAGCGUGGGGAGCAAACAGG